GACGAACGCUGGCGGCGUGCCUAAUACAUGCAAGUUGAGCGCUGAAGGUUGGUACUUGUACCGACUGGAUGAGCGGCGAACGGGUGAGUAACGCGUGGGGAAUCUGCCUUUGAGCGGGGGACAACAUUUGGAAACGAAUGCUAAUACCGCAUAAAAACUUUAAACACAAGUUUUAAGUUUGAAAGAUGCAAUUGCAUCACUCAAAGAUGAUCCCGCGUUGUAUUAGCUAGUCGGUGAGGUAAAGGCUCACCAAGGCGAUGAUACAUAGCCGACCUGAGAGGGUGAUCGGCCACAUUGGGACUGAGACACGGCCCAAACUCCUACGGGAGGCAGCAGUAGGGAAUCUUCGGCAAUGGACGAAAGUCUGACCGAGCAACGCCGCGUGAGUGAAGAAGGUUUUCGGAUCGUAAAACUCUGUUGGUAGAGAAGAACGUUGGUGAGAGUGGAAAGCUCAUCAAGUGACGGUAACUACCCAGAAAGGGACGGCUAACUACGUG
rnacentral:rRNA from 1 species